AAAUCCAGUAAUGAUAAUUUGGUAUUAUUAAAUGAGAUUUGCAUCACAACAAUAUGGCCUUCCUAUGGCAUCAUUGCAUGCCCAUUAUGCUCAUGAGAUUUGCAUAACAUCUGACCAGAAAAAUAAAAUAUAGUUAUGGCAAUAAAAGUUUUUCUUUUUUCUCCAGUAUUUCAGGAAAUUCAUGUAUCAUUUCCAUUACAAUGAAGAGCCUCUCAAGUAUGGAUCAUCCCUAUAUUUUGAGUACAAUGGAAGAUCAAGGGCUCUCUCUGCAAUUCUUCCGUCAUCGUGAAUCUUCGCUAUCAAGCUCUCAAGUGAUGUGAAAUUAGCCUCAGGUCGAAUAUAGCCAACUAUAACAAGACGCAAUUCCUCACCAUAGAAAUCUUCAUCAAAUUCAUGAAGCAGCCAUGGCUCCUAUAAUAAUAACCAGAAUUAGAAGAUGGCAAAAAUACAUGCAUAGGCCACCAUUUGAGUUGAUUUUACACUCACUAUAGUCUUUUCUGCGUUGUUAAAAUAUGGGUUCCAACCAAUACUCAUGACCAUUUUAUACACACCGCGGGUCGAUAGUCCAGACCAACCAAAAUACACGCCAGAGGAGUGUUCUGAAAGCAACAUUGAAUAACCUUCUGUGGAUAUAUUAGCUGAAACAAAUAACAACUCAUUAGAAGAUGAGAAAGAAAACCGGAAGUACAUACUAUUUUGGUUGAGUAGAAGAUGAACAGAAAACAAAAUAGGAAAUACGUCCUCAUACUCUCAAAUUCCAUUACAAGCUCAACUGCUCAAGGUGAUAUCAAGAGCAAAGCUGAUUGCCACAAAGAAAGUGACACUUUUACCAAAGUUGUAGAAAUGAUGAAUUCUCAAUACCAGUGGGGAUCCCGAGGACCUUUGAGCCGCGACCAAAUCCCUUAAUUACAGGACCGCCAAUAUGCCAAGGUUCCACUGGCAAGGUACCCUCAAUCCCUGCAAUCAGAAAUAAAUUUUAUGUUAAAAACUGAGGUGAAACCAUGAAAGUAAACUUGUUUUCAAAGAGAAAGAAUGACCAAGGUACUGAGGUGAAAUUAAAUUUGUUAUCUAACUGAAACAAUAACCAAGGUCUUUGAUGUUUACAAUCUUCAAAUGCAGGUAGGCCCCACUUUUCAGUUUGCAAAUCAAGUAGAGAGUUUAUCACUUCAUCUGCUGAUGUAUAAAGAUGAGAUUGUUUUGGAAGUGAUGGUACAGCAACCACUUCCAUUCCAGCAGCCUUACCACCCAUAACACCUGGCCUGGCACAUCCAAAACCUUCAAAUAUGGUUAAACAGAACUCCAUCAUAGCAUAUGAACGUUUUAGUACUUAUCAGUUGUAAAAAUAAAUUAUGUGGAGUGGACCCAGGAAGAAAUGCUAGUAGGAAGUCUAAAUCAAGCAAUUUUCACAAAUAUUUCAGCAGACAAUCAUUCCACUGCAGGUAUUUAAAAAAGAAAAAAAAAAAUCAGCCAACUUAAACUUUUUGCAAGGUAAUAGAGUGAAUAAUAGGGUAUAUAAGGUUCUAAGAAGAGUGGCAAUAAAAAUUGUCUCAACAUCUGGAAGCAAGAAUACAUAAAAAUUUCAACAAACAGCAAAUUGAAUGUCAAAUAAAAGUAGAAAACAUUGGUAUCAUUUGAGGUUAUCAGGCCAUAGAAACUUAGAAAGAGCCAACUUAUUUCUUCUAUGCAGAUUCUACAUAGAAGUUGGCUCUUUAUUGAUUACUGAAAUCAGCAUAAAUUAGGAGGCUGUCGCUCAGAAAGAAAGUAUGUUUCCUCAUGAGAAAUAGUAAGGACAAGUGAAUAGAAGAAAACUUCUAUAACAAUUGAAUUAUUUUUCUAACUUACAAAGAAUCCUCAAUGACCAGGCAACUGGAGGGUUCGACAUUCAGCCUUUUAGCUGCUUCCAAAAAUCUUAGACAGCAAACUCCCAAAGUUAAAUUCAAGAACAUAACAAUUUUUCAGAGUCAAACAAAAGACAUUCAAGAGAAGAAAAGACAGAAUUGUACACAUAUCUUAUCUUACAUUUCAGGAGAUGGUUUCCCAGUUCUUACUUCAUCGCCACCAAUAAUGACAGAGAAGGAUUCCUGCCAGCCCUGGUGAUAUGAAAUUUUGGAUUUUAUGCUUGCGUUUGGAGAGUUUGAAGCCAAUGCCACAGGUACAUUAUUACCACUUAAAUGUUUAAUUAACCGAUUGGCACCUGGAAGUGCUUUAAUUUUGCACAACUGAUCAGAGAACACAGGAGUGAUUUCUGCAAUAAAUUCUUCUGUUGCACAAGGAAGCCCGUAUUCUUCCACUAUAGCAGCAGCAGCUUCCAAAGGGGUCUUUCCUACUAUUUUACUAGCUUCUCUUCCAUCCCACUGUUUCCCAUACUUGACCAAAAAACCCUUUAAAACAUCAGAUACUAAUCCAUCUGUAUUGAGAAGGGUACCAUCUAAAUCAAGUAUGACGGCAGACACAAUCUUCUUGAAAGGGUUUGCCAUUGACAUUUUAGAAAUCAUGCAUAAACCGCGCCCAAAGAUUAUACUCUGAUUUUAAGAAUGCAUAAACUGUAGUUGGCGACUGGGCGUGAAAUGAGUGAAGGGAGAGAAAGGAGCUUGUAUCAAUCGCUAAGCUGUGCCAAAACUUGUCUGUUUCUGAAAAGCCGCUUCUUGAAGGAAGACUGAGAAAUCGAGAAGCAAAAAAUGGGCUUUUUCCGCUUUGCUCGGAUACCAAUUGUACCUAUUCCAUUGUGGAAUCUCUCUCGCUUUCUCUCUGUUAGAAGGAUUGUGAAUUGUGGAAUCUCACUUUGUCCACAACCGUGAAUACUAAAUACUAAAUACAGAAGCUUACCACCAGGCUAAUCUUCUUCUCUCCUUCUUUCACCCACAAAAUUGGUGCAGAAAGAGAGCUAAUUUUAGGAGCGAAUGAUUUGGAUGAAAUUUAAUUAUUUAAAUAAGAGAAAAUUCGAUUUUUGAUUAAUAACCUAUGAAUAUUCCAGGCUUCGCAUAUUCCAUUUCUUAUGCGGUGAUGCUCACAUGUCACAAAGGCAAGGCAACAUGGUGAUGGUUGAG
rnacentral:misc_RNA from 1 species